rnacentral:ncRNA from 1 species
AACCCCAAAAAAGUGGUAUAUUUUUUUAAUAUGAGAAAACAACCCCGUUAGAGGGGUAUAUUUGUUAAUAUUACAAAACAACCCUAUAAGAGGGGUAUAUUUGUCAAUAUUAGAAAACAACCCCAUAUGAGGGGUAUAUCUUUCAAAUGGAGAAAACAAACCCAAAAAAGUGGUAUAUUUUGCAGCUCUCUGGGUCCCUACCGACGCUGGGGUGCGAAAGCAUGGGGAGCGAACGGGAUUAGAUACCCUGGUAGUCCAUGCCGUGAACGAUGAGUGUUCGCCCUUAGUCUACGCGGAUCAGGGGCCCAGCUAACGCGUGAAACACUCCGCCUGGGGAGUACGGUCGCAAGGCCGAAACUCAAAGGAAUUGUAAGAGGGGUAUAUUUGAUAAUACUAGAAAACAACCCCGUA